rnacentral:tRNA from 1 species
GGUGGCUCAGUGGUAGAGCACUUGCCUUGCAUGCCGAGGCCCUGGGUUCGAUUCCCCAGCACCA